GCAGCCCGUUAAGAUUGGCCCAAACAAAAUAAUUUAUCUAACUUCCGUUUUUACCCGUAUCAUCAUUCUUGCUCCAACAUUAGGUUUGACGACUUGAAUACCAUGCCGUUGCUGAGCUCUGCGCCCAUUCAAAAGAAGUAUGUAAUAGAUAUACAUCUGAUCCUCCAUUUCAAAUUUCUCCAACUACUUCUUAAUCCAAUUGCUAUCUAUUUUCACACUUCGACAACCUAAUUCCCGUCCACCCUCUCUCUCCCUCUCUCUCCACUCACCUCCUUCCCUCUCUAAAAUCCUCAAUUCCAAGUCCGAUUCCGAUCGAAGCGUCUUCAAUCAACAAAAAGUGGUCUCUUCUUUGCAGCCCUUUACAACAUGAGUAUGGAGUGCUUCCGUAUCACAAAUUGGAUUGUUCAUUGCUUCCUAAUCUCUGUUUUCAUUUUCAAUUCCAUUCGAAUUCACCAUUUUUCGAAUCACCAUAUUAGGAGUCUUUGAGGAUGAAGGAAUUUGGGGCUAUUGGGUUCUAGGCAUCCGCAGCAUGAGUAUUCGCAACAUUGGGGGUACUGCUAGGUAGUGUAAAAUAACUUCAAGAAGGAUAAAGAUGGCUACUGGAAGUGGUUCGCUGGGAACCUGGUAUCAGGUGGUGCAGCUGGUGCUUCAUCUUUUAUUUUUGUAUAUUCUCUGGACUAUGCAAGAACACGUUUGGCAAAUGAUAUCAAGGCUGCCAAGAAGGGUGGUUGAAAGGCAGUUUAAUGGUUUGGUUGUGUUGGAAUUAUCGUGUAUCGUCAGCUUUACUUUGGAAUGUACGAUUCUCUGAACAUGUGGUUCUAACUGGUGGUUGUAGGAUAGCUUCUUUGCUAGCUUCUUGUUUUCUUGUUGGGAUGGAGAAUUACAAUUGGUGUUAGAUUAGCUUCUUACCCCAUUGACACAGUGCGCAGAGAGAUGAUGAUGAACUCAGGAGAAACAGUUAAAUACAACAGCUCCUUGGAUGUGUUCGGGCAGGAAAUCUCGACGGUGGGCGUUCAUGGCUCGAGCACACAACUCCCCAAGGAGUUGGCACUUUGGUUGGUUGUUGGGCUCCUGCGUUAGGAUGCUGCAAGAGGAGGACACAGUUAGUUCUGAAAGGUGCCUUUGUGGGGCCUUAGGUGUAGGCCUUAAGGCUCACAAUCAAAACUAACUGAGUGCAAAGGCGUGCCACUGCUAUCUCAAUAUGGCAGAUGUAGAACAAAUGUGUUUAAGUUGAUUACUUGCACCCUAAGUUAUUCUAACUUCUUGUUAUCAAAGGAUCGUCGUACAUGAGUUAAGUCUACAAUAAGUUCUUUUCUAUGCCUUGAGAUCAAGGACUUUCAUUUAUCUUGUAUGCUUAUAGGGUGGAAGUCCAAAUUUGAUUAAGUCAUCAGUUUAGUUCA